AGUGAACGCUGGCGGUAGGACUAACACAUGCCAGUCGAACGAGUGGCGGACGGGUGAGUAAUACAUCGGCAUCUACUCUGUCGUGGGGGAUAACGUCGGGAAACUUACGCUAAUACCGCAUACUAUUGAAUGAGCCGAUGUCGGAUUAGCUAGUUGGCGGGGUAAAGGCCCACAAAGGCGACGAUCCGUAGCUGGUCUGAGAGGAUGAUCAGCCACACUGGAACGGAGACACGGUCCAGACUCCUACGGGAGGCAGCAGUGGGGAAUAUUGGACAAUGGGCGCAAGCCUGAUCCAGCCAUACCGCGUGGGUGAAGAAGGCCUUCGGGUUGUAAAGCCCUUUUGGUGGGAAAGCGGUACCCAAAGAAGAAGCACCGGCUAACUGCGUGCCAGCCGCCGCGGUAAUAC
rnacentral:rRNA from 1 species